rnacentral:rRNA from 1 species
AUUGACGGACUGAAGGCUCUUUCUCGAUUCCGUGGAAAGUGGUGCAUGGCCGUUUUUGGUUGGUGGAUCGAUCCGUCUGGUUAAUUCCGUUAAAGAACGAGACCUCGGCACUCCGAAUACGCGCGGCGGACGUCGCGGCCUCCGGGCCGUCUUCCGCACGAGCUUCUUAGAGGGACCGUCCCCCGCCGGGGAAGGAGGUGCGAGGCAACGACAGGUCUGUGAUGCCCUUAGAUGUUCUGGGCCGCACGCGCAUUACACUGACGCGUCCAACGGGUGACUCCCGACCCGAAGGGGCCGGGGAAUCCGCAAGGCGCGUCGUGAUGGGGAUUGAACGUUGCAAUUGUUGUUCACGAACGAGGAAUUCCUAGUAGGCGCGGGUCAUCAACCCGCGCCGAUUACGUCCCUGC